AAAAUAACGAAAAAAUUUAUCAAAGACUCAAAAUAAAACUCAGAUAUAUAUAAGAGAGCUAAAAGUUAUUUAAGCAAAAAAAAAUUUAAGUAAAGUAUACUUAGCACUCAUUGGGGUUUAUUUACAACAACUUCCCUUAGAGUACACAAUAUAAUGUUUUUCAAACAACUAAGGGAGGUUAAUAUAAUGUAUAAAGAUAUCAGUGUAAAGUUUUUCAAACAAUUAAGGGAAUUAGUGUAGAGAUAGAAAUUGGAGGAAUAUCACGUGCAAUUUAAAAAAAAUAUGAGGAAAUAUCAACAUAGUUUACUAAAAAAGAUUAUACAUUGGAGGAAGGAGAUUUUAGAGGAUUAAAAGCUCAAAUACCUCUUUAGUAGUUAGUACUGCUAAUAAAAGUGCUUUGAAAAGACCUACUGAUUGAUCAAGUUUGUAGACGACCGAAAACUGUAAUUGGGAAAAACCGAAAGAAGAAAUUGAAGUAUAAACGAGGUUUGUGACUAACAAGCUACAAUAAAGGUCCACCAAUAUAUUGCUAUGUUUUGGUACCAAGUUGAGAUUUCUUUCAACAUGAUGAAAUUGCAAAGCUUUUAUGUCAUGCUUGUAGCUGUUGGAAGUUUUGGACCGCCUUUAAGACCUCCAAGCUAUCAUGAUAUAAGAGUCUCUCUCCUAAAAAAGGAAUUGGAGUAAUGAUGGGUCAAAGGGAACAAUUGGCAAGUUUAGCCUAUGAAGCACGAGGAUGCUUGUUGGGUGGCAUUUUCCGUUUCCGGUAUUGAACUGGGACGGGACAGGUAUAACAAGGAGAUGGCAUUAAUUUCUUGAGUACGACUGACCAGACGGAGAUGACAGUGACUUUGUGGGGACCUAUUAGUGAAGUGGUGGCAUACACGUCCUCACAGUCCAAAAUUUUAAAAAAGGAAAAACAUAAAUUUAAAUUAGGGCUUCCAAGAUUGCAGCCGAUUUCACUCCCUCUCUCCUCUCUUUCACUCUCUUGAAUGCGGGUGGAGAGUGCGGACCGGAAGUUCUGCCGUGUGCGCGACGUGCGGCGUACAGCGGCAGCGCGAGCCAGCAUCAACAGGAGAACUGCACUCCAGAAGGUUGUGCGGUGGCGGCGUACGGCGUACACGAGCAAGAGAAUCGCGCGUGCGAAGCUGGCGGAGUGCGGGUUGACGCAGUGGGAACACGGGUUGACGAGGUGGGAGCGCGGUGGAGAACCACGAGGCACUAGCCAGGUCCAGGUGGCUACAUUAUUUGAUAUAUACUAAUGCCACUAUGCCAGGGACAGAAGUCAAUCAUAUCUGUCAUUAUCCGAUCAUUAAGGAUAUCUGGAAGUCAUUGAUGACCUAACAACUCAAAUUAGUGACAAAAAUCCAUAAUAUUGUGAAUUCAUCUACUUUUCUUUUUCUUUCUUUGGAUAGGCUGAGAUGCUAAUUAAUAAUAGUAUUAUGUUAUUAUAAAAACAUGUGACAAGUCACUUGGGUGUCAAUGUAACUAUUAUGUUAUUA